CGCCCAACUCGCUGGCAACCUCCGCUGCGUUCCUCCGCCCAACUGUAGCUCCGAGGACCCGCCAGCGACCGCAGCUCCUACGAGCUCCGCCAGCUAAGGCUUCACCGCUCCGCUAGGCUUCCGCUGACCAAAACCUCUUCCGCUAGUUGUACACCGCUAGCACACCAAAGCUCCAACAGCAACCAGCGACGAACUUCCUCCGCUAAGCUUCGUCAGCGGGAAACUUCUUCCGCUAGGAUCCAUCGGCGGCAUCACCAAGCUUCCUCCGCUAGCUAACAACAGCGCCAGUCCAAAUCUGAUUUCAACACCCAAAUUUUUGCAAGAUCAAGACCUCUCACCUCCUGCCAGUGUCAUCACCGUCAGCGGAAACCUCCGCCGAGCUCCUCCGCCGGACAACCCUCCGCUGAACUUCACCGCUGGGCAGCCUGUUCUAUGCUUCACCGCCGG
rnacentral:lncRNA from 1 species